GGGGGAGGACAGUAGGUCCCCCCCUUCUUGUUUUUUAGGGUGGGGGCCCUAAAAACAAUAAGGGGGGACCUACUGUACUCCCCCCGGCCCCCACC